UGGGAAUUUUGGACAAUGGGCGCAAGCCUGAUCCAGCCAUGCCGCGUGCGGGAAGAAGGCCCUCGGGUUGUAAACCGCUUUUGUCAGGGAAGAAAUCUUCCGAGUUAAUACCUCGGGAGGAUGACGGUACCUGAAGAAUAAGCACCGGCUAACUACGUGCCAGCAGCCGCGGUAAUACGUAGGGUGCAAGCGUUAAUCGGAAUUACUGGGCGUAAAGCGUGCGCAGGCGGUUUUGUAAGACAGAAGGUGAAAUCCCCGGGCUCAACCUGGGAACUGCCUUUUGUGACUGCAAGGCUUGAGUGCGGCAGAGGGGGGAUGGAAUUCCGCGUGUAGCAGUGAAAAUGCGUAGAUAUGGCGGAGGAACACCGAUGGCGAAGGCAAU
rnacentral:rRNA from 1 species